rnacentral:rRNA from 1 species
UUGGAGGGCAAGUCUGGUGCCAGCAGCCGCGGUAAUUCCAGCUCCAAUAGCGUAUAUUAAGGUUGUUGCAGUUAAAAAGCUCGUAGUUGAAUUUCGGGAUCAAUAUGUCGGUCGUGCUUUUGGUACGUACUGGCAUCAUUGGUUUCUCCCUUCUGACAAACCAUGAUGUCAUUAAUUUGGUGUUAUGGGGAGUUAGGACUGUUACUUUGAAAAAAUUAGAGUGUUUAAAGCAGGCAUUAGCUUGAAUACAUUAGCAUGGAAUAAUGAAAUAGGACGUUUGACCCUAUUUUGUUGGUUUCUAGGAUCGACGUAAUGAUUAAUAGGGAUAGUUGGGGGCAUUAGUAUUCAAUUGUCAGAGGUGAAAUUCUUGGAUUUAUUGAAGACUAACUACUGCGAAAGCAUUUGCCAAGGAUGUUUUCAUUAAUCAAGAACGAAAGUUAGGGGAUCGAAGACGAUCAGAUACCGUCGUAGUCUUAACCAUAAACUAUGCCGACUAGGGAUCGGAUGAUGUUAAUUUUUUAAUGACUCAUUCGGCGCCUUACGGGAAAC